UUAAACAACAAAGGUUUUAUGCUACUUAUAGGAAUAUAACCAGUUUUUAUAAGGAAACCCACUUUCCAAAAAUGUACAGGUACUAGAAGAGAAAUUAUGUAUAUUAUUGUAUUGUUCAACAACAAGGUUAUCAAGUCAUUCAAUAUUUGAUCUAAGAGCAUUAAGAGUGAAAUUGUGAAAUGGAAAGAAGUGAAAUUCCAGGAUUAUUAAUAGGAAUAGAUGACAGUAGUGGGUAUGCAUGCAGACACUAUCUACUUACCCCAGUAUUACAGCCAGGUAAUGAUCAAGAAAAUAAGAUAUUUUUACCAUAGUACUCAUGUGAGAACAAGAAAUGUAGAAAAGGUGUUUGGAACCUGGAAAGAUGAGGUAUGCCCUGUAUUGUUCAAAAUUAUAUUUCAUAUGCUUCCAUCCUUCCUCUUAGAACGUGGUCCUAUUAUGAAUGUAUAUGGAUCGUGGUAUGCCCUGUAUAGUUCAAAAUUAUAUUUCAUAUGCUUCCAUCCUUCCUCUUAGAACGUGGUCCUAUUUUGAUGAAUGUAUAUGGAUCGUGGUAUGCCCUGUAUAGUUCAAAAUUAUAUCUUCUCUGGUCUUCAUAUUUUAGAUGCUAUUUAGCCUGAUUCUAGUGCUUUAUCGUUAUUUCCAGUGCUUUAUCAAUUUAUCAUCAUUUAUUUUACCUACCUGUCUACUGCUACUCUACUAUUGUACUUUCACCAUAUAUUUUUGGAAUAUAAAUAUAUAGUAACCUUCUGUCUUUCUCUUGUUCAACUGGAAUUUGUUUAUUUAUUCUGAGAAUACAUUAUUGAAUCUGUAUUAUGUUAGAUAUAUUAUUUUUUAUUUUAUUUCUUAAUAUGUAUUUUUUAUAUUUUAUUUUAAAAUAAAUGAGUAUGAGUUUCCCUCUUCUUAAAUAA